AGAUGCCACCUGUAAAACAUCUUAUAUAAAUUUUCUUUGUAAGCAGUUGACAUUGUCAUUUUAUAAUUUUGAGACCAUAAUUUUUGCGAUUUCUCUAAAUCAAUCCCAUAUCCAAAAAUUUUCCCCCAAGUAAUCAUCGUUUCCUUAACUUGUUCCUCCUAGUUUGAUUUCUAACA